rnacentral:rRNA from 1 species
AAUCAACGCUGGCGGCGUGCCUCAGACAUGCAAGUCGAACGCGAAAUUUCCCUUCGGGGAGAAAGUAGAGUGGCGCACGGGUGAGUAACACGUAGGUAAUUUGCCUUUGGGUGGGGAAUAACUCAGGGAAACUUGAGCUAAUACCGCAUAAUGCAGCGGCUCGACAUCGAGACAGUUGUUAAAGCGGGGGAUUGGAGCAAUCCGACCUCGCGCCUAAAGAGAAGCCUGCGGCAGAUUAGCUAGUUGGUAAGGUAAUGGCGUACCAAGGCGACGAUCUGUAACCGGCCUGAGAGGGCGGUCGGGUCACACUGACACUGACAUACGGGUCAGACUCCUACGGGAGGCAGCAGUCGGGAA